rnacentral:lncRNA from 1 species
CAAAAAGCAAAAGCUUCGAUGCAUGGUUGAUACGCCUAGAAGAGUCGGUGGAAUAUUCCAUUACCAAUAGCACAAGUCCCGUCUGGGGUAUAGGCCGACAAUGUUUCCAAAUUGACAAUUGUCCCUAGAGCAUAAUGUUUAAGAGCCACCAAGCAUUUUGGAAAUUGUUUUGUAAGACUCCUCCCAAUUUCCAAACACUUUUUC